GCCUUAGUAGCUACACAUUUAAAGCACCGACCUUGUAAGCCGGAGAUCGGGAACUAAUAAAUCCCCUAAGACA
rnacentral:tRNA from 1 species